rnacentral:rRNA from 1 species
GAGUUUGAUCCUGGCUCAGGAUGAACGCUGGCGGUGUGCCUAACACAUGCAAGUCGUACGGUUUUUCCCGCAUGAAGCUUCGGCUGAUUGUGGGUAAAGAUAGUGGCGGACUGGUGAGUAACACAUGGGUAACCUGCCCCUCGGAUCGGGAUAACAGUCCGAAAGGACUGCUAAUACCGGCUACUUUCAUUCGAUCGCAUGGUUGGAUGAAGAAAGAUGGCCUCUGCUUGCAAGCUAUCACCGAGGGUGGGGCCUGUGGCUCAUUAGCUAGUUGGUAGGGUAACGGCCUACCAAGGCAACGAUGGGUAGCUGGUUUGAGAGGACGACCAGCCACAUUGGGACUGAGAUACGGCCCAGACUCCUACGGGAGGCAGCUGUGAGGAAUUUUCCGCAAUGGGCGAAAGCCUGACGGAGCGACACCGCGUGGUUGAUGAAGGUC